rnacentral:lncRNA from 1 species
UUCUGAAACGUCGGUAAAAACGUUAUUGAGUUUGCUUCUCGAUAGAAUAGAAUAGAAGGAAUAGAACUGCUUUAUCAAAAUCAACAUGAAUUUGUCAGAAAACCAAGUUAGUAAUGCAUUACCUUUCUAUAUAUUCGGCAUUUGAAUUUUCAUCUCUUAAUACUAAUAUUUCGAGAACGUAAUUGCGUAUAUCUGUGACAACGUUACAACAACGUUGCAAAUUAACGUUGUGAUAACGUUGUGCUUUGGACAUUACAGUACUUUUUGUAAAUGAUGUUUAGGAAACCACUUGUAGAUCUACCAUCUCUUAGUGUUAUUUUUUUUUAAACAUAUAUAUCUAUUAACGAACUAAAUGUUGUCACAAGCAAUAUUACAGUUAAAAACAAUUGGCGCGUAUUUUUUGCGGCGUGAGAGCGACUGCAGAAAAGUUUAGCCUGUUGCCUCGUGAAGUGACGUCAGAAUGACGUCACAUUGUCGCGGAAGAUUUGUUGUCACCAGCCAUCUUAGCUCAAACUCACUCUGGACAUAAUAUAUUACAAGCAAGUGAUUGUGCAGCAACUGGAACUGGACAGAUGAUCUGUGAAUUCGAUUGAGGUGGAGAAAACAGUAUUGUGGGAGCGUAUUUGUUUAAAGUACAUAUCACUGACAGAAAGUUACCAAGGCAUAAGGAGAGACUGAGGAUACAGUUGAAGAUCAUCCCUGUGACUUUUCAUUUGAGGACUGAAAAGGCUCCCCAGCAACUCAGCCCAUGUUCUGACUUGUCAUUUAACAAAUAAAUAAAGGUCACCUCAA